CGCAAAGUGCCUGGGAUGCGAUCUCACCCUCUCCUUGCCGGCACAGCAUCAUAUUUUUAUUGGUGCUUGUCCGCUUUGGAGGCGUUUUGCUGCUCUUCGUCCUGCUUAUUUGCUGGGAACCACAGCAGGGAACCAUGACAUGGAUUGAAGGGAGCGAGAAAUCCCGACGGCGCUCCUCAAAGGACAACAUCUCUGGGUUGCCACUGCGGCAAGGCCAAUGAAGCAGGAAGCUCUGCAGCCUUGAAAAUCAGGAGAAAACAUCUUUCAGUCCAGAAACUGGAGAUGUCAACGCAGCCACUUUUACUUAGCUUUUAUCUGAAACAUCUUGCUGUUGUGGUUGUUCAAAACUGGAGUCUGAGGACGUGUAAGAACUGUCAUUUGCAGUCAAUGAGGAGAAGAACCAGCAAAAUUAAGAGGAUGCUGCACAUACUCGCUGCCCUAAUUCUUCCAGAAAUGGCCUGACAGUUGCACGUGGACGUUUGGUGGGAACCAGGCUGAGGGUUGCAGGUGGGCGUUUGAUGGGAACCAGGCUGAGGGUUGCACAUGGACAGCUACUUGGACUCUCCACCUAAAAUGCACCAACAUUGUUUGCUAUUAAGGACAGCUAACACGGAACUCUGCAAGCUGACAUUGCACAAGAAUGCAUCAGCAUCUUUUUAUUAAAUUUCCAAG